UACGUAGGGACCGAGCGUUGUCCGGAUUCAUUGGGCGUAAAGAGCUCGUAGGCGGCUGUUCAAGUCGAACGUGAAAACUCGGAGCUCAACUCCGAGCCUGCGUUCGAUACUGGACGGCUAGAGUCCGGUAGGGGGAUAUGGAAUUCCUGGUGUAGCGGUGGAAUGCGCAGAUAUCAGGAGGAACACCAAUGGCGAAGGCAGCACUCUGGGACGUGACUGACGCUGAGACGCGAAAGCGUGGGGAGCAAACAGG
rnacentral:rRNA from 1 species